CAGAACGAACGCUGGCGGCGCGUCUUAAGCAUGCAAGUCGGACGGUCAAGGGUUGUGCUUGCACAACUCCUAGAGCGGCGGACUGGUGAGUAACGCGUGGGUGACCUGCCCUCGAGAUGGGGAUAGCCAUUAGAAAUAGUGGAUAAUACCGAAUAAGCUCAUGACCCUGUGGGGAUAUGAGGAAAACAGGCUACGGCCUGGCUCGAGGAUGGGCCCGCGUCCCAUUAGCGUAGUUGGUGAGGUAACGGCCCACCGAAGGCGACGAUGGGUAUCCGGCCUGAGAGGGUGUACGGACACAUUGGGACUGAGAUACGGCCCAAACUCCUACGGGAGGCAGCAGCUAAGAAUAUUCCGCAAUGGACGAAAGUCUGGACGGAGCGACGCCGCGUGGAUGAAGAAAGGCCGGAAGGUUGUAAAAUCCUUUUGCUGAUGAAGAAUAAGUGUGGUAGGGAAUGACCGCAUGAUGACAUUAGUCGGUGAAUAAGCCCCGGCUAACUACGUGCCAGCAGCGGC
rnacentral:rRNA from 1 species